AACGAACGCUGGCGGCAGGCCUAACACAUGCAAGUCGAGCGAAGCCUUCGGGCUUAGCGGCGGACGGGUGAGUAACGCGUGGGAACGUGCCCUUUGGUACGGAAUAGCCCCGGGAAACUGGGAGUAAUACCGUAUGUGCCCCUCGGGGGAAAGAUUUAUCGCCAAAGGACCGGCCCGCGUUGGAUUAGGUAGUUGGUGGGGUAAUGGCCUACCAAGCCGACGACCCAUAGCUGGUUUGAGAGGAUGAUCAGCCACACUGGGACUGAGACACGGCCCAGACUCCUACGGGAGGCAGCAGUGGGGAAUCUUAGACAAUGGGGGAAACCCUGAUCUAGCCAUGCCGCGUGAUCGAUGAAGGCCUUAGGGUUGUAAAGAUCUUUCAGUGGGGAAGAUAAUGACUGUACCCACAGAAGAAGCCCCGGCUAACUCCGUGCCAGCCGCCGCGGUAACAC
rnacentral:rRNA from 1 species